UCCAGCCACUCCUAUCCCAACACUACAUUGGCACUUUCCAAAUUAAAAAGGAAAUAAUGUUGUGUUAUGCACAAUUUUUUAAUUCACAAUUCCAAUGCUUUACAACUUCUCCUACUCUAUACUUCCUGUCCAUUAGCUACUUUCACCACAAACGACUUAAUUUUUGUUUCCUUCAACCCUAAUUCUUCGUGCAAUUUGCGAGAGAUGAAAUAUAUUGAUUCUUUGCUAUCAAUCAACAUAAUAACCUUUUUUCCCUAAUAUUGUUCCCAUGCCUUCAAGGACUUCUUUGUGGUAAAUCCUGCAAUACAGUACAAAGAAAAUUCCAUCAACUUUUUAGACUCUGGUUGUUCUUGAAUAUUUAAUUGAUCCAUCCUUGCAUCAAUUAUUUCAUCUGAAUGCUCUUCUAUGUCUCCAUCUUUGUUGUCCUCUGAUGCAAUAAGAGUCAGUUGACUUUGAUUAGACCAGACCGCCCAGAGAGGAACGUGCCCACGAGGGCACCACAUAAGCAGAUUUAACUGUUUUGAAUUCCACCAGUGACUGGGGCCAUAUUUUUUCAUCGCAGCAAAAACAAAGUCCUCAUCUUAAUUUAUCCAGAUACUCAGCAUCAGAUAGACCUUGUGGUGCUUGUAAUGCCAUAGCUUAGACUUUCUUUGGAUGAUUUGGUCCUUUACUGAUUUAAACAGAAACAAUAUAACUCCAGCAUGGAGCCGAGGUAAGUAAUGGAAAAUUAUGAUAAAGGCAAGGGUAAUAGCUGAUUUCCGGAAGCUUUACUUUUUGUUACUUUUAUUGAAAACUCAUGUCACUCUUCUUGGAUUUUGAGAAAACUUAAUAUAUUCUUCUUUUAUACAACUGUUGAACCUUGGUAUUAGUACUAUUUUCGAAAUUGUAGAGACUUCCUAGUUUUCUAAAAUACAUACCUUGUUUCAUUUUUGAGUUUGAACAUAUUUCAAUCUGUAUAUUUCAGAAUCAACUGUGUAAAACUAUCGACUAUUUUUUCACAUUUAUUUUGAAAAGUCUAAAAGAGUUUAUCAUACAAAAAAAGUAACUACCAGUUUUUGCCCUUUCUGACUACCAAAACCUGAUCAUGCAUUAACCAAAUAACAAAGUAAUAUUUGGAUCUAAAAGCGAUACAUCUAGCUAUUGCCAAGCUGGCAUGAAAUGUAAAUGAAGAGAGAAAAAAAAGAAAAGAGGACAAGUCAGGUGGAGAACAAAUCGAUGUAGCUUAGACAUUAAGGCCUAACAGUUGCAUUAGCUGAGGAUUGAAAGCCCGCUCUCAGAGGAUUACUCUUGUGUGAUGGUUCUGAGUCUAGCAUCAACCAAGAAGAUUGACAAGAACAUUUAUCUGUUGGUUGCCUCUCACAUAUCAUUCUCACUAUAGAGUUAACUUACGGAGUCUCAUCACCAGGAAAAGUCAGCAGAAGGCAAUCUGAGUUUCCACUAGUUGAGAGGUAUAUAUAACCUCCUUCUUCGUCAUGUCUGGGAAACAACAUAGUUCCUGAACCAUCAGGUGCUACAUAUAAGAUGAUGUGAUUUAACUUAAAACAGGAUAUACUUGACACUUUUAUUACAGUUCCUGCUUUGUGAAGUGUGUCAUAGACAUGGCAGUUCAUGAGCUUAAAGCACACAAUGAGGAGGUUGCUCCAUAGAGAAGGAACUAGGUGAAAGAUGUUAGGAUCAAUCAUGAGUUAAACAUCGAAGAAAAAAAGUAAAAAAGGAUAAAAUUGAGAAAAAUGAAAGCUGAAGCUCGCAAAGAGCUUUACGUGGGUCGCCAAAGGAGUCAAAACCUCGUCGAAUGCAUCAGAACUCAAGGCUAAAAGCCUGAGCCUUUUGGAGAGGAAAGCGGAUUUUGGCAACUCACCGAAGUUAUUUGGGCGAGUUGCAUCACGACCGUCUAAAUGCCAUUGAAAGAACAUCAGAACGGUGAGUAAGCAAGCAAAUUGGCGAUUCGUGGAUAGGAAAGGCAAGCAUGUCCAAGCUUGCCUAAUAUAUUAGAGCCUCAGGAAAAGAAAGCAAGCUAAUGAAGAAACAUGUGAGAGGUAAAAAUGGUGACUCGCUGAAUGUGUUGGUGAGAGAGAUCGAGCUCGCCUAAUCAGAGAUCAUGAACUGAAGGAGAAACAUUCCAGUAGGCAAGACAAAGGACAAAUCGGCGAUACGCCGACCACUUUGCUGAGCUCGACUAACGUCGCCGAAGUGGUUUCAAUUGUCAAUUUUUUCUUGUGUUUUGCAUUCGUAUAAAUAGAAUUUUCAAAGGAAAAUGAGGGACGUUUUUCACUGCCAAGACUUAGAGACAAAAACCAAAAAGUUAUUUGCGGGUUUUGAGAAUUUGUUUUGGAGAUUUUAGCUUGGACUUUGGAUUUUGGAUUUUAAACUUUACUGAAUCAAAUGGAUGAUAAUUACUUUGGUAUAAUUUCUUUAAACUCUGUAAUGUGUGGCUAAAUCUCCUACUUCUAAGGGGGUGCUAUUAAGUUAGAUUGUUGUUCUACAUUUGGGUUUUUGUAACAGCUCAUAAAUUGUUAAUUUGAAAUGAGUUUUGUUAAUUUGAUGUGGAAUCAAUAUGAAUUAUGGUUGUAAAUAUAUUUCUAU